rnacentral:rRNA from 1 species
AUUGAACGCUGGCGGUAGGCCUAACACAUGCAAGUCGAACGGUAACAGGAAACAGCUUGCUGUUUCGCUGACGAGUGGCGGACGGGUGAGUAAUGUCUGGGAAACUGCCUGAUGGAGGGGGAUAACUACUGGAAACGGUAGCUAAUACCGCAUAACGUCGCAAGACCAAAGAGGGGGACCUUCGGGCCUCUUGCCAUCGGAUGUGCCCAGAGGGGAGUAGCUAGUAGGUGGGGUAACGGCGUACCUAGGCGACGAUCCCUAGCGGGUCUGCGAGGAUGACCAGCCACACUGGAACUGAGACACGGUCCAGACUACUACGGGAGGCAGCAGUGGGGAAUAUUGCACAAUGGGCGCAAGCCUGAUGCAGACAUGCGGCGUGUAUGAAGAAGGCCUUCGGGUUGUAAAGUACUGUCAGCGGGAAGGAAGGGAGUAAAGUUAAUACCUUUGCUCAUUGACGUUACCCGCAGAAGAAGCACCGGCUAACUCCGUGCCAGCCGCCGCGGUAA